rnacentral:lncRNA from 1 species
AGUUCGGUUUUGCUUUCACUGUGACAAAGCAGCAUCAAAUUCAAUGCAAUGUCUCACAAUAGCUGCGCUCUCCCUCUUCCAAGCACAGAGAUUCUCUCUCUACGCCACAAAGCCACUGCCAUGGGAUGGGGACAGGUGGCAUCAGCAACUCAAGACUGUCUUCCCUACCCUCUUCAUUGCCUCUUUCAACAGUAUGAAGUUAAAAUCAGGACUACCCAGGCAGGGGGAGCUGCCUUCACUCACCCUUUCCCACUACUGCUUCCAGAAACAUCUCCCCAUCACUACACUAGGGACUUUGUAAGCACAGAUGUGGGACCCAUGAGUACUACAGAAGGAAGCAGAAGCUGCAAAGACCUUGGUUUCUCUGGCCCUUCCAACAGCAAGUAUCGCCAGGAGCAGCUCCCUAAUCUACAUACUACAGAUCUAUCCACAAGAAGACAGAUGGAACCACUCUUUUCUUCUGAAUUCUAGAACCUUAAGGAAGUUAACCUGAGUGGCUCAGCUUGGAUCAAGUGCCCAUCCUGGUCCAAACAACUGUAGCAGCACAUCUGUGUAUUUGUGUAUCUUGUUCCUCCAUAAUCUUGCAGUCCGGGGAAAGUGUGCAGAUGGAUGGGUCCCUGAAAAGCAAGAGUUGUUUAGACAACGCUAGAGGUGUUCAGUUCUGGGAGACAAGAGUUGGGCCAGGUUGAUAACUAGCCUAAGAGAGUCGGAAUCAGAUGAAUAAGAACUAGAUCUUGGGUGACAACCUAGAUCAAGAGUCUUGAGGUUCAGUCAUUUCAAAAAGCUCAAGUCUCAUUGCUUCUUGGCCUUCUGGCUAAGAUCAUGUGCAGUAUCUGUUCUUACCAGUUUAAUAUCUGAUACAUCCUCUAUCUGAGGAUAAUAUAAUAAAUAGAUUUUUGGAGCAAGGAGAUGGAAUAGGAGCUUGCUCUGUCCACUCUACACAUUGGCCUGGAUUGCAGUACCUCCAGGAAUGGUGCACCCUCUCUACCACCCCCAAAAAGCCCAAGUCUCAAGAGGUAGUCUGGAAAAAAGUGUUUUUGGAUUUACCUACAUUUUUUUUUCCAAGAUGGAGUCUCGCUCUGUCACCCAGGCUGGAGUGCAGUGGCGCCAUCUUGGCUCACUGUAACCUCUGCCUCCAGGAUUCAAGCAGUUCUCCUGCCUCAGUCUCCCAAGUAGCUGGGAUUACAGGUGUGUGCCAACCAUGCUCAGCUAAUUUUUCUAUUUUUAGUAGAGACAGGGUUUCACCAUGUUGGCCAGGCAGGUCUCAAAGUCCUGACCUCAGGUGAUCUGCCUGCCUUGGCCUCCCGAAGUGCUAAGAUUACAGGCGUGAGCCACUGCGCCCGGCCUAAUUUUUGUAAUUUUAGUAGAGACGAGUUUUCACCAUGUUGACCAGGCUGGUCUCGAACUCCUGACCUCAGGUGAUCCACCCCCGCCCUCGGCCUCCCAAAGUGCUGGCACUACAGGCAUGAGCCACCGCUCCUGGCCGGGUUUGCCUACAUUUUGGAGAUGCUGCACACCAUGUCCCUCUUUUCAAGAGUCACGUAAGUAUUUACAUAUGGAAGACCCUGAGAAGGCACCUGGGAAAAAACCUGUUUAACUGUAAAUAUAAUAAUGUAUGUAUUUGUAUGUGGAGCUCUUCUUUUAGUGGAUUAUCUAUAAACCGUCCACUGUUCCCAAUGCAUACUUUGGAGACAGACCUACACUACCAGUUUUCACCUGCUAGUUAUUUUUAUAAGGGUUGGGAUGGUCCAUGAGUGAACAGUCUUGAUUUAAAGCAGUGUUUCCCAAACCUCAUUUAUUUGCCUAUAGCCUUCCUGGAGUUUGUCUUAUAUGUCCGCUCUGUGCACUAUUCCUAUAUGUUUUUAUGUAAAUCAAUCACUUUUUUAAAAAGCCUCAUCCCAGUUAUAUCCUUAAAACAAUGGUUAUUUUUUCUCAUACACAUCGAAAUACAUAUCUAUUAGAAUUAAAAUGCUUGUCCAUGCACUA